AUGAAGUGCGCAAACGCAGGAGAAACGCGAGGAGAAACAGAACGUCUGCCAAUAUUUUUUCUCUCUUUAGAUUCUUUCCGAACGCAUUGGACUGAAAGUCACUUGGUCUAUUUAUAUUGCAUCUAUGGUAUUGAAGGCUUGUGAACAUGCUGCAUGCUUUCCAGUUUCCAGUUCGGUACAGUUUGGUGUUAUGGUGAAGUGUAUUGAACAACAAAUGACAAAUAUGAAGAAAUGUUGUAAAAUAGUAUAAGGCCCGGUUAUUUUAAUUUCUUGGUAAACUUAUCUAUUAGAUAAACAUGUCUAUCUUUAUUUCUCCCUGAGUAAAUAAUGACAAAUAAUAGAUGCCUGUCCGGUAAAGUUUCCCAAUAAACUGGAGCAAUUGGACCUAAGUGUUAGAUUAUGUUAUGACUUAUUAUACAAUUGUGUUUAAUUAUCUUGAUUAUGUGCCUAUAAAAAUAUGCCUUUCAAAGCAUAACUUUUGAUGCAACUUAAACAUGAAGUAGUCGAGGAAAUUCUGUUCUAAGUGAUUGUUCUAAUUUAAGUGUUACUAUUUAUGCAUUCUUUAAAUACUAAAAGAUCGCAAGAUAUGUCAUAUAUAAACAAACGAAAAGGUGGAUAGUGUCUUAUGGAAAUUGCUAUAUUAAGGUUACUUAUGCGAGUCAGACUCUAUCUCAAAUUUGGGCAUUGUUUCAACCAUAUUAUUAAUUAUCCUAUUAAAAAAUUCUGAAAUGAUAUUAAAAGUUACGCAUAUUGACGAAAAGAAGAAAUAAAAUUAGAAAGUAUGAAAGUAUAAUUAGAAAAAUAUGAAUGUAAACGAAAAAAAGAAACAAUGAUAGAUUCAUAAAAGGAAAUUAUAGGAUAAUAUGGCAGUCGUGGAAAAUAAAAUUAUUGGGCCAACCGGUCUGAUACGAUAAAAAUAUCUUAACAAACAUCUUCAUCGUUAUUGUCAGUGACAUCAAAAUCGUCAUCGCUGUCGUUAUUGUCCUGGAAUUGUCAGAUCUACGCAACACGACGCAAUCUCUAUGUAUCAGCGAUUAUCAUUUUGUUGACUUACGUCGAAGUAAGGCAGUACACUAUCCAAAUUUGAAUGUUUGUUUGAUGAAUGAAUUAUAUUCAGAAUAUGAUCGAGUGAUCUGUCAAACGAUUUAUUUUGAAUUAAGCAGUUAAGUAGUUAAUUUCAUAAUCAUUAUCCGCAAUUGCAUCAGUAGCAACGUUUCUGUGAUAUGGCUGCCACAGCCAAACAUGAUUUACGUCGUAAGUUUUCUGCGGAUGCGUCCGCUUCUGGCGAGGAAGAUAUUGCCGCGAUUGCCAAACAGAUCAGCGAUCAUGCAGAGGCGAUUUAUCAAACGUGGAAAAGUCGCGGAUUAGCACCGACGGAGAUUCUAACUUGUCACAACAAUACAACUGCUGUUGACAAAUUUGGUAGUGCAUUGACACCUUCCAAUUUGUCUGCUCUCGGAAAUACCGUGACUGGAAAUAAAAUUGACGGCAAGACGUCGCCGUCGUUGUUGCCAUCACUCGAACAUUCUUCCCCAACGACAGUAAAUAUAUUAACUCAAACGCCUAAUCUGGACAAUGGCAAUCUUGAAAAAUUAGUCAACAAUUUUGUAGUAGAAGAUAAAGCUAGAAUAGCUGCUUCUAAACAAAAAUCACCAUCUAAGCCGUUACCGUCUUCCAUACAAUUUGUUCUACAAAAAUUUGAGAAAAACUCUAUGCAACAGCAGCAACAAACUACUGCAAAGAAUAAAGUAGUUCCCGAUAAUUCGAAAAAAUUGACAAGUGUCUUAUCAUCUACUUCAUCGUUUUUGAAUAAACCAUCACAAAUAAUAAAACCUCAAGUUCCUGCGAAGAUGCCCUCUUCUCAUCACUGUGAAGUCUUUCUGGAAACUAUUGAAACUACUUUUCCAAUCAACUUGAUAUCUUCCAAUAGCGUUACGCAGCAAAAAAGGCCCAUUAGUACGUUUAUGGCAUCAUCACCCAUUGAUUCUUUGUCAAAUAUUAACUUAUCGCCCUCGUCCAAUUCUGGUUUAACAACUUGGCCAUUGAAAAAUAAAUUAAACGACUCUAAAAAAAUCGCAGAUGUAUCUCGCAUAUCAGCUAAAACACUUCAGCAAAAAGAUAUUACGAAAACAUUGUUAGUGCAAGAUCAAAAGAGAUCAGUUGUGACCGACGUAAACUCGCGCUGUAUGUAUCUUGAUGAAGUUGCACGAGAAGAAGAAAGACUAAUAAAUGCUUUAAAAACAGGUGCUGUAAUUUCUGAAGAAUUAGAGGAAACAAUGGAGGCGUGUUUGUGCAAUAGACAGAAACCGACUAUUAAGCAAGAAAAAUUAAAAAUUGAACCAGUCAAACAAGUUAUUAGUAAAAGCCAUAAUUAUUAUGGAAAUAGUUCUACAAUAUCUAACUCAGAAACUUCUAAUUCUAUGACAAACGUAAUUAAUGCUAGCAAUCCCACCGCUGUUACUGAUCAUAAUGCGAAAUCACUCAGUAAGGAUGAUUUGUCCGCUAUGUCAGCAGUUGACUAUGCUAAGGUUAGAUAUCAGGCUGCUCAACAGAACCCACCUACUCAGCAGCGACUUGAGGAACAGCGAGCUUCUAAUAAUUUAUACAAUUCCACCACAGAACAAUUGGUUUCUAGUACGCGAACAAAAUUUGAAAUGGAGAUACGACAGAAUAAAAACACUAAGGAUUCGGACAAAGAUUCAGUAACAUCAAGGUGGGGACCAAGAAUUGCUUCCUCACGACCGCGACUAGAACAGACUGUGCCUCAUCCAGAAUUGACUAAUCAACAAAAGCAGCACAUAAGAACAGCCGUGGUAACAGGUACGGGUAGUAAUCCCGUCAGACCCUUCCUUACUAGAGGCUCCGUGGCAGAACGUGUACUCAUUUUCGAAAAAUGUCCGAGCGAGCUGCUGUUAGACAAACGUUGUUUACGACCACCGACGAUUAAUACAUGGAGGGAUGGCCAUGAGGUGCAAAAUAAAGCUCAGACUUAUUCGAAAGAGAAAACACAGCAGAAAAGUUUGCCAUUGCAUACAACUUUACAAAGGCAGGUGAAAGCUAAUAGAAAUGUUCAUAUACCGAGAUUUUAUUUUCCAGGAGGGAAACCGCUGCCUGUUUCACAAUUAGAAACAAUUGUUUCAAAUAUUACUGUGGCUUUUCAAAGUUUACCGAGUUGUUGUGUUUCUCGUGCACAAUUUCAUAUUAUCACGAAGGCUUGCGACUUACCCUUGUAUUGGAAAAUACCACUUUUUCUGGCAGCAGGCGGUGAUCAAAAAGGAUUUGUCGAGAUGAAUGUUUUUCUAGAGUUUUGGAAAGAAUUAACAGCUACCCAUUACGAUGCAGCUAGUAAAUUCAUCAAUAUUCUUACUCGGGGUCUUCGAGACAAUAUACUUCCGGAAGACUUAAUUCCACUCGUACAGGAUGUUGUAGAAACGCAUCCAGGAUUGACAUUUUUAAAAGAAGCCACAGAAUUUCAUUCACGUUAUGUACACACGGUGAUUGCUAGAGUAUUUUAUUGCGUGAAUCGAAGUUGGAGUGGUAAAAUUUCAAUUGCCGAAUUAAGAAGAAGUAAUUUAUUGGCAAUAAUUGCUAUGCUCGAACACGAGGAAGACAUUAAUCAAAUCACAGCGUACUUCAGCUAUGAACAUUUUUAUGUGAUAUACUGCAAGUUUUGGGAAUUAGAUCGUGACCAUGAUCUUUUUAUAGAUAAAGAAGACUUAAUGAGACAUAAUGAUCAUGCAUUAUCUACUCGAAUGAUUGAAAGAAUAUUUAGCGGUGCCGUGACAAGAGGAAGUCGAGCAAAAAAUAAUAACAAUGUACAACAGCUGGAAGACAAGAUGAGUUACACGGAAUUUGUAUGGUUUCUUCUUAGCGAAGAAGACAAGAAUCAUCCAACUGCUAUUGAAUAUUGGUUUAGGUGUAUGGAUCUUGAUGGCGAUGGUUAUUUAUCAAUGUAUGAACUAGAAUACUUCUAUGAAGAGCAAUUACGUCGAAUGGAAGCGAUUGGUCUGGAAACAUUGCCUUUCGAGGAUUGUCUUUGUCAGAUGUUAGAUAUGAUUCAUCCAAUGAUAUCUGGCAAGAUAUCGUUAAAUGAUUUAAAAAAAUGCAAAAUGACAUCUAUCUUCUUUGAUACUUUCUUUAAUCUGGAAAAAUAUCUGGAUCAUGAACAAAGAGAUCCAUUUGCUUCAGCAAGAGAUCACGAUGCUGAUGGUCACGAACUCUCGGAUUGGGAUCGAUUUGCAGCAGAAGAAUAUGAAUUAUUAGUUGCUGAAGAAAGUGGCAAUGAACAACAAGAGCAAAUGCUGUGUGAUGAUGAAAUAUAACCAUCAUCUACAGCUCACUCUUGGAGCAAGUUGUUACGUUUGUAACAAAUCCCACUGCAUUGCUAAACACCCACCGCCAACAAUCCGACCGUCCAUCCGUCGGGCCAGGAAUAUGGGCAUCGGCCUGCUAUAGACUCCCCGAUUUGCGCUCGUUCAGCAUCCCGGUCGGCGGGAUGCCGGGAUCGAUAUCCGAAAGCAUCUGGGGAAACCAAAGCCCAUCGGAGGAGAUAUAAAAGGGCGAGAUCCGACGAGAAUCUUUCUCUUUUGAUCCGAUCGUUAAACCAUUCCGCUGGCUGUCGGUUCCUAGAAAGAGCUCCUCGAAACGGACACAAGCCAUGUGCAUUAAUGGAUUAAUGUAUAAAUCACAUAUUUUUGUGAUUUACAAAAAAACCUGACGUGUGCAGCAAAACGGGCAACAAAUCGAAUUCAGCACCUCAAGACCUAUAUAGAGGACUUUCUCUGGUUCUUGUAAAUUAGUAUUUUGUGGUCUGUGUUAUUGAUAGCAAAGAAGUCAAAAGCUCCAAAAUCUAUGAUUUCGGAGCUUUCGACAUUGAAGUUGUACAAAAAAAUACAGAAUAGUUAUAACAAUAAAUGUUUAUAAACGUGUAUAAAAAAGUACACAGUA
rnacentral:misc_RNA from 1 species